rnacentral:rRNA from 1 species
AUUGAACGCUGGCGGCAGGCUUAACACAUGCAAGUCGAGCGAGCGGCGGACGGGUGAGUAAUGUCUGGGAAACUGCCUGAUGGAGGGGGAUAACUACUGGAAACGGUAGCUAAUACCGCAUACCAUCAGAUGUGCCCAGAUGGGAUUAGCUAGUAGGUGGGGUAAUGGCUCACCUAGGCGACGAUCCCUAGCUGGUCUGAGAGGAUGACCAGCCAAGCUGGAACUGAGACACGGUCCAGACUCCUAGGGGAGGCAGGAGGGGGGAAUAUUGCACAAUGGGGGCAGGCAUGAUGGAGCCAUGCCUGUUGUGUGAAGAAGGCCUUGGGGUUUUAAAGCACUUUCAGCGAGGGGGCGUUACUCGCAGAAGAAACACCGGCUAACUCCGUACCAGCAGCCGCGGUAUUAC